AUAUCAUGGCUCUUAAUCUAAGAAAUUAAAUUCUGUCAAGCAAUCUAUUAUUAAACUCCAGUUGGACAAGCAAUAGUGGGAAUGAGGGUGAUUUUUGUAUUUAACUAAAGUUAUGUAAAUUUAACAACUGUUUACUUGUUUUCUUGGCAGUGUAAUCAACAACCGAAUAAAAUUGACAACCAAAAAUAUACGACACAAAUAAAAUAAAAAUACAAAAGCCUUGAGCAUGUUUCCUUCAACCGUGAUUUGGUAUCAUUACGAUAUAAUAUACUAAUAUCUUUUGUAGAAUAAUAC
rnacentral:lncRNA from 1 species